AGCACCUGUAGCCGAAUCAUUGACUCUUUUGUGAAAUUGUUGCGCUUAACGUAACAAAUGGCAAAAGAAACUGAUGGUUUAGAGACUGGGAGGAGACAGAAGAAUUCUAAGGGGAGCGGUAAAAUGUUAUAAUCCUUAGAGGACUACCAAUGGCGAAGGCAUCUGUCUAGAACAGGUCUGACGGUGAGAGGUGAAGGCUGGGAGAACGAUCCGGAUUAGAUACCCGAGUAGCCCCAGCAGUAAACCCUGCGAGCCAUGCGUUGCAUAUUCUUCGGGAAUAUGCUGUGCAGUAAUGAAGAUGUUAAGCUCGCCACCUGGGGAGUAUGAUCGCAAGAUUGAAACUUAAAGGAAUUGGCGGGGGAGCACAAGCCG
rnacentral:rRNA from 1 species